UACGGAGGGGGCAAGCGUUAUCCGGAUUUACUGGGGUUAAAGGGUGCGCAGGCGGAUAUGUAAGUCAGUGGUGAAAUCUCCAGGCUUAACCUGGAAAUUGCCGUUGAUACUAUAUAUCUUGAAUGCUGUGGAGGUAAGCGGAAUAUGUCAUGUAGCGGUGAAAUGCUUAGAGAUGACAUAGAACACCUAUUGCGAAGGCAGCUUACUACGCAGAUAUUGACGCUCAUGCACGAAAGCGUGGGGAUCAAACAGG
rnacentral:rRNA from 1 species